AUUGAACGCUGGCGGCAUGCCUUACACAUGCAAGUCGAACGGCAGCACGGGUGCUUGCACCCGGUGGCGAGUGGCGAACGGGUGAGUAAUACAUCGGAACAUGUCCUGUAGUGGGGGAUAGCCCGGCGAAAGCCGGAUUAAUACCGCAUACGAUCUACGGAUGAAAGCGGGGGACCUUCGGGCCUCGCGCUAUAGGGUUGGCCGAUGGCUGAUUAGCUAGUUGGUGGGGUAAAGGCCUACCAAGGCGACGAUCAGUAGAUGGUCUGAGAGGACGACCAGCCACACUGGGACUGAGACACGGCCCAGACUCCUACGGGAGGCAGCAGUGGGGAAUUUUGGACAAUGGGCGAAAGCCUGAUCCAGCAAUGCCGCGUGUGUGAAGAAGGCCUUCGGGUUGUAAAGCACUUUUGUCCGGAAAGAAAUCCUUGGCUCUAAUACAGUCGGGGGAUGACGGUACCGGAAGAAUAAGCACCGGCUAACUACGUG
rnacentral:rRNA from 1 species